rnacentral:rRNA from 1 species
GGUUAAGCGACUAAGCGUACACGGUGGAUGCCCUGGCAGUCAGAGGCGAUGAAGGGCGUGCUAAUCUGCGAUAAGCGCCGGUAAGGUGAUAUGAACCGUUAUAACCGGCGAUACCCGAAUGGGGAAACCCAGUGUGAUUCGUCACACUAUCAUUAACUGAAUCCAUAGGUUAAUGAGGCGAACCGGGGGAACUGAAACAUCUAAGUACCCCGAGGAAAAGAAAUCAACCGAGAUUCCCCCAGUAGCGGCGAGCGAACGGGGAGGAGCCCAGAGCCUGAAUCAGCAUGUGUGUUAGUGGAAGCGUCUGGAAAGGCGCGCGAUACAGGGUGACAGCCCCGUACACAAAAGCGCAUGUGCUGUGAGCUCGAUGAGUAGGGCGGGACACGUGGUAUCCUGUCUGAAUAUGGGGGGACCAUCCUCCAAGGCUAAAUACUCCUGACUGACCGAUAGUGAACCAGUACCGUGAGGGAAAGGCGAAAAGAACCCCGGCGAGGGGAGUGAAAAAGAACCUGAAACCGUGUACGUACAAGCAGUGGGAGCACAGGUUUACCUGUGUGACUGCGUACCUUUUGUAUAAUGGGUCAGCGACUUAUAUUCUGUAGCAAGGUUAACCGAAUAGGGGAGCCGUAGGGAAACCGAGUCUUAACCGGGCGUUAAGUUGCAGGGUAUAGACCCGAAACCCGGUGAUCUAGCCAUGGGCAGGUUGAAGGUUGGGUAACACUAACUGGAGGACCGAACCGACUAAUGUUGAAAAAUUAGCGGAUGACCUGUGGCUGGGGGUGAAAGGCCAAUCAAACCGGGAGAUAGCUGGUUCUCCCCGAAAGCUAUUUAGGUAGCGCCUCGUGAAUUCAUCUCCGGGGGUAGAGCACUGUUUCGGCUAGGGGGCCAUCCCGGCUUACCAACCCGAUGCAAACUGCGAAUACCGGAGAAUGUUAUCACGGGAGACACACGGCGGGUGCUAACGUCCGUCGUGAAGAGGGAAACAACCCAGACCGCCAGCUAAGGUCCCAAAGUCAUGGUUAAGUGGGAAACGAUGUGGGAAGGCCCAGACAGCCAGGAUGUUGGCUUAGAAGCAGCCAUCAUUUAAAGAAAGCGUAAUAGCUCACUGGUCGAGUCGGCCUGCGCGGAAGAUGUAACGGGGCUAAACCAUGCACCGAAGCUGCGGCAGCGACACUGUGUGUUGUUGGGUAGGGGAGCGUUCUGUAAGCCUGUGAAGGUGUGUCGUGAGGCAUGCUGGAGGUAUCAGAAGUGCGAAUGCUGACAUAAGUAACGAUAAAGCGGGUGAAAAGCCCGCUCGCCGGAAGACCAAGGGUUCCUGUCCAACGUUAAUCGGGGCAGGGUGAGUCGACCCCUAAGGCGAGGCCGAAAGGCGUAGUCGAUGGGAAACAGGUUAAUAUUCCUGUACUUGGUGUUACUGCGAAGGGGGGACGGAGAAGGCUAUGUUGGCCGGGCGACGGUUGUCCCGGUUUAAGCGUGUAGGUGUGUGUUCCAGGUAAAUCCGGUUCACUUUAACACUGAGGCGUGAUGACGAGGCACUACGGUGCUGAAGCAACAAAUGCCCUGCUUCCAGGAAAAGCCUCUAAGCAUCAGGUAACAUCAAAUCGUACCCCAAACCGACACAGGUGGUCAGGUAGAGAAUACCAAGGCGCUUGAGAGAACUCGGGUGAAGGAACUAGGCAAAAUGGUGCCGUAACUUCGGGAGAAGGCACGCUGACACGUAGGUGAAGUGAUUUACUCAUGGAGCUGAAGUCAGUCGAAGAUACCAGCUGGCUGCAACUGUUUAUUAAAAACACAGCACUGUGCAAACACGAAAGUGGACGUAUACGGUGUGACGCCUGCCCGGUGCCGGAAGGUUAAUUGAUGGGGUCAGCGCAAGCGAAGCUCCUGAUCGAAGCCCCGGUAAACGGCGGCCGUAACUAUAACGGUCCUAAGGUAGCGAAAUUCCUUGUCGGGUAAGUUCCGACCUGCACGAAUGGCGUAAUGAUGGCCAGGCUGUCUCCACCCGAGACUCAGUGAAAUUGAACUCGCUGUGAAGAUGCAGUGUACCCGCGGCAAGACGGAAAGACCCCGUGAACCUUUACUAUAGCUUGACACUGAACAUUGAGCCUUGAUGUGUAGGAUAGGUGGGAGGCUUUGAAGCGUGGACGCCAGUCUGCGUGGAGCCGACCUUGAAAUACCACCCUUUAAUGUUUGAUGUUCUAACGUGGACCCGUAAUCCGGGUUGCGGACAGUGUCUGGUGGGUAGUUUGACUGGGGCGGUCUCCUCCUAAAGAGUAACGGAGGAGCACGAAGGUUGGCUAAUCCUGGUCGGACAUCAGGAGGUUAGUGCAAUGGCAUAAGCCAGCUUGACUGCGAGCGUGACGGCGCGAGCAGGUGCGAAAGCAGGUCAUAGUGAUCCGGUGGUUCUGAAUGGAAGGGCCAUCGCUCAACGGAUAAAAGGUACUCCGGGGAUAACAGGCUGAUACCGCCCAAGAGUUCAUAUCGACGGCGGUGUUUGGCACCUCGAUGUCGGCUCAUCACAUCCUGGGGCUGAAGUAGGUCCCAAGGGUAUGGCUGUUCGCCAUUUAAAGUGGUACGCGAGCUGGGUUUAGAACGUCGUGAGACAGUUCGGUCCCUAUCUGCCGUGGGCGCUGGAGAACUGAGGGGGGCUGCUCCUAGUACGAGAGGACCGGAGUGGACGCAUCACUGGUGUUCGGGUUGUCAUGCCAAUGGCACUGCCCGGUAGCUAAAUGCGGAAGAGAUAAGUGCUGAAAGCAUCUAAGCACGAAACUUGCCCCGAGAUGAGUUCUCCCUGAGACUUAGAGUCUCCUGAAGGAACGUUGAAGACGACGACGUUGAUAGGCCGGGUGUGUAAGCGCAGCGAUGCGUUGAGCUAACCGGUACUAAUGAACCGUGAGGCUUAACCUU